GAACGCUGGCGGCAAGCCUUACACAAGCAAGUCGAGCGGUAGCAUUUCUAGCUCGCUAGAAGAUGACGAGCGGCGGACGGGUGAGUAAUGCAUAGGAAUCUGGCCAAUAGGGGGGGAUAGCCCGGAGAAAUCCGGAUUAAUACCGCAUACACUCUAUGGAGAAAAAGCAGGGGAUCUUCGGACCUUGUGCUAUUGGAUGAGCCUAUGUCGGAUUAGUUAGUUGGUGGGGUAAAGGCCUACCAAGGCAGCGAUCCGUAGCUGGUCUUAGAGGAUGAUCAGCCACAUCGGGACUGAGACACGGCCCGAACUCCUACGGGAGGCAGCAGUGGGGAAUAUUGCACAAUGGGCGCAAGCCUGAUGCAGCUAUGCCGCGUGUGUGAAGAAGGCCUUAGGGUUGUAAAGCACUUUCAGUAGUGAGGAAAAGUGUUGUGUUAAUAGCGCAAUACUGUGACGUUAGCUACAGAAGAAGGACCGGCAAACUCCGUG
rnacentral:rRNA from 1 species